ensembl:lncRNA
CGUGGGAACAAAUUUAUUUCUAUUUUGUCUCAUGUACAGAAAGUUGAAUCAAUUUACAGUUUACAAACAACUGACCAGGUGAAUGAAGCCGAUGAUUUACUGCACAGGAUGAAGGCCUACAGCUCAGUCCUCUUGAUGCUCUUAACUAUCAAAAACAUCCAGCGCGGUAGGUUGCCAGAUUUGAAGUUUCCUCUCAGGGAUUCGGUGUCAAAUCGUUCACCAAAUCUGAGAAAACACUUCAUUAGCAAAACAUAAACAAGCAAGAAAAGCCACGAUUGCACAACUCAAUACUUUCCAUAUCUGGUUCAAAAAAAUAAAAGUACACUUACAGCAGUGGGCGCAACAUUUUAGCAGGAUUCGAUUCAUGGUUGUGCUAUUCUUCAGACUUUGAUUUACAUCACAUUUUCAGCUUGUUCCAUAGGCUACUGACACAGGCUUAUGAACAGCAAGCGAAUGGUACAAAGGACCAACAUGUCAGCAUGACUUUUAUACAGCCGUUUUCCCUUCAUAAGCAACCCAUUACUCUGCAAAAACCACCAACAAAACAGCCGUCAGCCUCGCUAAGUUCACAGUUGUUGAAUAGGCAGUGGUGAUGCUAGUAACAGCAGGAGCGUGUUGGUCAGUAUGUUAUCGUUGUAAACAUUUACGACCGGAAGUGAAUUUCGUUAGAACUGGAUUAAGGGAAAAGUCAGUGUAUCUUCAUAAAGUUCAUUUGGCAACACAGUCCAAUGCAUCAUUUUGUGCCAAACAUCCUUGUUAUCAAUAAUAAUAGUUAAAAAAAAUCAUUAAAAACACCCUAUUCUACAUUUAACAUGCACAUUGUAUACACAUAAAAUCUCAUAUAGAUCAUACCAUUUACAGGUUCCGUGAAAAAAGAGGAUAGAUACAAGAAAUUAAGAUAUCCAAGGACGGAAUAGCCGCAAGAAAAGUUGUCUGUUUUGGCAGGCAUGCUCCCCAGAGUGACGCGUGUUGCUGUUGUUGUUACCGCAAUGCAGUGUGCUUAUCAGUGCCUGCCGAUCUCGACAGUGAGUUUAGGUGACCGCUGACUGCAUUUUAAAAAGGGACCGGCAUGCCUAUCACUCGAUCCUAUGUGAAAGAAGGCACUUACAGGAGAGAAGUGGUUCAGGCUCUGUCUACAGGCAACCCCCGCUGAUCUCAGUAGGAUAUUUCAGAAAUAGUAAGUCUUCAAGUAAAAGCGGUUUGGAACUACGCUUGUUUCUUGGCGUUUAGGGGUUGUCUAGCAGGAACUUGUAGGGGAGGGCUUUUGGUGCCUUCUGUUUAUUUCAUACAUUCAUAUGCAUGCAACCUUUCUAUACCAAAUGGUCUUUCAAAUAUCUGGGCAUGU